AUCGCUUCUCGGCCUUUUGGCUAAGAUCAAGUGUAGUAUCUGUUCUUAUCAGUUUAAAAACUUGAUACAGCAUUACAUGUAUUAUAAUAGAAGGGUCAGGGUGUUCAUAAGAUUGACAUAAGAAAGUUGAAGUAUUUAGGUCCCCAUGUGGUAGUUAAAAUUUGCAACAUUUCAUAUUAUGAUAAAGCUC